rnacentral:misc_RNA from 1 species
UUUCCGUAGGUGAACCUGCGGAAGGAUCAUUAUCAAAAGUCAAGUCGGGGGCUGCAAAGCCUUCGUCUACACCCAUGUCUUUUGCGUACUUCUUGUUUCCUCGGUGGCGCAAGCCGCCGAUUGGACAAACCAAAACCUUUUUUGUAAUUGCAAUCAGGGUCUGAAAAUAAUCUAAUUAUUUACAACUUUCAACAACGGAUCUCUUGGUUCUGGCAUCGAUGAAGAACGCAGC